rnacentral:rRNA from 1 species
AAAAAAGGUAAGCUACUAAGAGCGAAUGGUGGAUGCCUUGACUGGUAAAGGCGAUGAAGGACGUACUAGACUGCGAUAAGCUACGGGGAGCUGUCAAGAAGCUUUGAUCCGUAGAUUUCCGAAUGGGGCAACCCAAUGUAUAGAGAUAUACAUUACCUAUAUAGGAGCGAACGAGGGGAAUUGAAACAUCUUAGUACCCUCAGGAAAAGAAAUCAAUAGAGAUUGCGUCAGUAGCGGCGAGCGAAAGCGCAAGAGGGCAAACCCAGUGCUUGCACUGGGGGUUGUAGGACUGCAAUGUGCAAGAGGUAAGUUUAGCAGAACAUUCUGGAAAGUAUAGCCAUAGAGGGUGAUAGUCCCGUAUGCGAAAAACAAACCUUAGCUAGCAGUAUCCUGAGUAGGGCGGGACACGAGAAAUCCUGUCUGAAGCUGGGUCGACCACGAUCCAACCCUAAAUACUAAUACCAGAUCGAUAGUGCACAAGUACCGUGAGGGAAAGGUGAAAAGAACUGAGGUGAUCAGAGUGAAAUAGAACCUGAAACCAUUUGCUUACAAUCAUUCAGAGCCCUAUGUAGCAAUACAGGGUGAUGGACUGCCUUUUGCAUAAUGAGCCUGCGAGUUGUGGUGUCUGGCAAGGUUAAGCAAACGCGAAGCCGUAGCGAAAGCGAGUCUGAAUAGGGCGCUUAGUCAGAUGCUGCAGACCCGAAACGAAGUGAUCUAUCCAUGAGCAAGUUGAAGCUAGUGUAAGAACUAGUGGAGGACUGAACCCAUAGGCGUUGAAAAGCCCCGGGAUGACUUGUGGAUAGGGGUGAAAGGCCAAUCAAACUUCGUGAUAGCUGGUUCUCUCCGAAAUAUAUUUAGGUAUAGCGUUGUGUCGUAAUAUAAGGGGGUAGAGCACUGAAUGGGCUAGGGCAUACACCAAUGUACCAAACCCUAUCAAACUCCGAAUACCUUAUAUGUAAUCACAGCAGUCAGGCGGCGAGUGAUAAAAUCCGUCGUCAAGAGGGAAACAACCCAGACUACCAGCUAAGGUCCCUAAAUCUUACUUAAGUGGAAAACGAUGUGAAGUUACUUAAACAACCAGGAGGUUGGCUUAGAAGCAGCCAUCCUUUAAAGAAAGCGUAAUAGCUCACUGGUCUAGUGAUUUUGCGCGGAAAAUAUAACGGGGCUAAAGUAAGUACCGAAGCUGUAGACUUGCGCACAACUUAGAUUAUUUAAGUUUAGAAUAUGAGAAACUAAGUUAUAUGUUUAGUUAUAUUUUUACUGAUUUUUAUAGAGUAAAGAUAGAAAUAAAACUUAGUAAAAUCAGUAAAAAUAUUCUUAGACUAAAGUUAAGUAGUUUAAGUUGUGUGCAAGUGGUAGGAGAGCGUUCUAUUUGCGUCGAAGGUAUACCGGUAAGGAGUGCUGGAGCGAAUAGAAGUGAGCAUGCAGGCAUGAGUAGCGAUAAUUAAUGUGAGAAUCAUUAACGCCGUAAACCCAAGGUUUCCUACGCGAUGCUCGUCAUCGUAGGGUUAGUCGGGUCCUAAGUCGAGUCCGAAAGGGGUAGACGAUGGCAAAUUGGUUAAUAUUCCAAUACCAACAUUAGUGUGCGAUGGAAGGACGCUUAGGGCUAAGGGGGCUAGCGGAUGGAAGUGCUAGUCUAAGGUCGUAGGAGGUUAUACAGGCAAAUCCGUAUAACAAUACUCCGAGAACUGAAAGGCUUUUUGAAGUCUUCGGAUGGAUAGAAGAACCCCUGAUGCCGUCGAGCCAAGAAAAGUUUCUAAGUUUAGCUAAUGUUGCCCGUACCGUAAACCGACACAGGUGGGUGGGAUGAGUAUUCUAAGGCGCGUGGAAGAACUCUCUUUAAGGAACUCUGCAAAAUAGCACCGUA